rnacentral:rRNA from 1 species
ACCCGAAACCGUAGUGAUCUAUCCAUGGCCAGGUUGAAGCACAGGUAAAAUUGUGUGGAGGACCGAACUCGUGAGCGUUGAAAAGCUUUGGGAUGAGUUGUGGAUAGGGGUGAAAUGCCAAUCGAACACGGAGAUAGCUGGUUCUCCCCGAAAUAGCUUUAGGGCUAGCCUUAAGUGUAAGAGUCUUGGAGGUAGAGCACUGAUUGGACUAGGGGUCCUCAUCGGAUUACCGAAUUCAGUCAAACUCCGAAUGCCAAUGACUUAUCCUUAGGAGUCAGACUGCGAGUGAUAAGAUCCGUAGUCAAGAGGGAAACAGCCCAGAUCGCCAGCUAAGGUCCCAAAGUGUGUAUUAAGUGGAAAAGGAUGUGGAGUUGCUUAGACAACUAGGAUGUUGGCUUAGAAGCAGCCACCAUUUAAAGAGUGCGUAAUAGCUCACUAGUCGAGUGACUCUGCGCCGAAAAUGUACCGGGGCUAAAGUGUAAAACCGAAGUCGUGUCAUAUGCAGCAAUGUAUAUGGGUAGGGGAGCGUUCUUAUUGGGUUGAAGCAGUACCGUAAGGAGUUGUGGACUGAUGAGAAGUGAGAAUGUCGGUAUGAGUAGCGAAAAGAAUGGUGAGAAUCCAUUCCACCGAAAGCCUAAGGGUUCCUGAGCAACGAUCGUCGUCUCAGGGUAAGUCGGGACCUAAGCCGAGGCGGAAAAGCGUAGGCGAUGGACAACAGGUUGAAAUUCCUGUACCGGUGUGAAUCGUUUGAUCGAUGGAGUGACACAGUAAGGUAGGUCAGCACGCGAUUGGAAGUGCGUGUUUAAGCAUGUAGGUUGAGCUAUAGGCAAAUCCGUAGCUCUAAAAGCUGAGAUGUGAUGACGAGUUACUAGCGAUAGUAACGAAGUGAUUGAUCCUACACUGUCGAGAAAAGCUUCUAGGUAGAGACACAUCGCCCGUACCAAAACCGACACAGGUAGGCGGGGAGAGAAUCCUAAGGUGCGCGGGAAAACCCUCGUUAAGGAACUCGGCAAAAUGCCUCCGUAACUUCGGGAAAAGGAGGACUCAUGUAGUGUGAAGUGCAGCAACGCAUGGAGCAUGAAUGAGUGGCACAAGAGAGGCGCAAGCGACUGUUUACCACAAACACAGGUGCCUGCUAAAGCGAAAGCUGAUGUAUAGGUGCUGACACCUGCCCGGUGCUGGAAGGUUAAGUUCCGACCCGCACGAAAGGCGUAACGACUUGCGCACUGUCUCAACGAGAGACUCGGUGAAAUUGUAGUACCUGUGAAGAUGCAGGUUACCCGCGACAGGACGGAAAGACCCCAUGGAGCUUUACUGCAACCUAAGAUUGAACUUAGUUAAUGAAUGUACAGGAUAGGUGGGAGACGUAGAAUCUAGGACGCCAGUUUUAGUGGAGUCGUUGUUGGGAUACCACCCUUUCAUUAAUUGAUUUCUAACGGGCCGAGUAACGACCGGCCGGACAGUCUUAGGCGGGCAGUUUGACUGGGGCGGUCGCCUCCUAAAGAGUAACGGAGGCGCCCAAAGGUUCCCUCAGAGCGGACGGAAAUCGCUCGAAGAGUGUAAAGGCAGAAGGGAGCUUGACUGCGAGACGGACAGGUCGAGCAGGGACGAAAGUCGGGCUUAGUGAUCCGGUGGUGCCGAGUGGAAGGGCCAUCGCUCAACGGAUAAAAGCUACCCCGGGGAUAACAGGCUUAUCUCCCCCAAGAGUCCACAUCGACGGGGAGGUUUGGCACCUCGAUGUCGGCUCAUCGCAUCCUGGGGCUGUAGUCGGUCCCAAGGGUUGGGCUGUUCGCCCAUUAAAGCGGUACGCGAGCUGGGUUCAGAACGUCGUGAGACAGU